rnacentral:lncRNA from 1 species
UAAUUUAUAUAAGUAAAUAUAUCAUAGUGGAGCGUACAUAUAUUCAUCGCUAAGUUCAAAGCUAAGUCUAAGUUUCUUGAACUAUAUAUUAAAGGAUUUGUAUAUAAAAAAUUAAAUAUGAAUUCUAAUACAAUAAAAUUCAACGUAACAUUUGCACUAAUUUUUACUUUACAUUAUUUUUUAUUUUAUUUUUACUUGUGCACUAAUUUUUGUACCUCUCUAUAAUAGUUAAGUACAUGAAUUUUAUAAAUAUUUGAGAUUACAUAUAAAAA